UAAAGAUUCGUCGCUGAUAGAUAGGCAUGCGUUCCAUUAGGCAGUUGGCGGGGUAACGGCCCACCAAACCGACGAUGGAUAGGGGUUCUGAGAGGAAGGUCCCCCACAUUGGUACUGAGACACGGACCAAACUCCUACGGGAGGCAGCAGUGAGGAAUAUUGGUCAAUGGGCGUAAGCCUGAACCAGCCAAGUCGCGUGAGGGAUGAAGGUUCUAUGGAUCGUAAACCUCUUUUAUAAGGGAAUAAAGUGUGGGACGUGUCCUGUUUUGUAUGUACCUUAUGAAUAAGGAUCGGCUAACUCCGUGCCAGCAGCCGCGGUAAUACGGAGGAUCCGAGCGUUAUCCGGAUUUAUUGGGUUUAAAGGGUGCGUAGGCGGCCUUUUAAGUCAGCGGUGAAAGUCUGUGGCUCAACCAUAGAAUUGCCGUUGAAACUGGGAGGCUUGAGUAUGUUUGAGGCAGGCGGAAUGCGUGGUGUAGCGGUGAAAUGCUUAGAUAUCACGCAGAACCCCGAUUGCGAAGGCAGCCUGCCAAGCCAUGACUGACGCUGAUGCACGAAAGCGUGGGGAUCAAACAGGAUUAGAUACCCUGGUAGUCCACGCAGUAAAC
rnacentral:rRNA from 1 species